rnacentral:rRNA from 1 species
UACAGAGGGGGCAAGCGUUGUUCGGAAUUACUGGGCGUAAAGGGCGCGUAGGCGGCCCUCUAAGCCAGACGAGAAAGCCCCCGGCUCAACCGGGGAGUGCGGCUGCGAACUGGGUUUCUUGAGGACGAUAGAGGAGAGUGGAAUUCCUGGUGUAGCGGUGAAAUGCGUAGAUAUCAGGAGGAACACCCGAGGCGAAGGCGGCUCUCUGGGUCGUACCUGACGCUGAGGCGCGAAAGCGUGGGGAGCGAACGGG